UACGUAGGGUGCGAGCGUUGUCCGGAAUUAUUGGGCGUAAAGAGCUCGUAGGCGGUGUGUCGCGUCGGCCGUGAAAACCUGGGGCUCAACUCUGGGCGUGCGGUCGAUACGGGCAUCACUUGAGUUCGGCAGGGAGACUGGAAGUUCCUGGUGUAGCGGUGAAAUGCGCAGAUAGUCAGGAGGAACACCGGUGGCGAAGGCGGGUCUCUGGGC
rnacentral:rRNA from 1 species